rnacentral:rRNA from 1 species
UACGAGGGGGGCUAGCGUUGCUCGGAAUCACUGGGCGUAAAGCGCACGUAGGCGGAUUGUUAAGUCAGGGGUGAAAUCCUGGAGCUCAACUCCAGAACUGCCUUUGAUACUGGCGAUCUUGAGUCCGGGAGAGGUGAGUGGAACUGCGAGUGUAGAGGUGAAAUUCGUAGAUAUUCGCAAGAACACCAGUGGCGAAGGCGGCUCACUGGCCCGGUACUGGCGCUGAGGUGCGAAAGCGUGGGGAGCAAACAGG